rnacentral:rRNA from 1 species
AGAGUUUGCUUUUGGCUCAGGAUGAACGCUGGCGGCGUGCCUAAUACAUGCAAGUCGAACGCACAGCGAAAGGUGCUUGCACCUUUCAAGUGAGUGGCGAACGGGUGAGUAACACGUGGAUAACCUACCUCAAGGUUGGGGAUAACAUUUGGAAACAGAUGCUAAUACCGAAUAAAACUUCGUAUCGCAUGAUACAAGGUUAAAAGGCGCUACGGCGUCACCUAGAGAUGGAUCCGCGGUGCAUUAGUUAGUUGGUGGGGUAAAGGCCUACCAAGACAAUGAUGCAUAGCCGAGUUGAGAGACUGAUCGGCCACAUUGGGACUGAGACACGGCCCAAACUCCUACGGGAGGCUGCAGUAGGGAAUCUUCCACAAUGGGCGAAAGCCUGAUGGAGCAACGCCGCGUGUGUGAUGAAGGCUUUCGGGUCGUAAAGCACUGUUGUAUGGGAAGAACAGCUAGAGUAGGGAAUGACUUUAGUUUGACGGUACCAUACCAGAAAGGGACGGCUAAAUACGUGCCAGCAGCCGCGGUAAUACGUAUGUCCCGAGUGUUAUCCGGAUUUAUUGGGCGUAAAGCGAGCGCAGACGGUUGAUUAAGUCUGAUGUGAAAGCCCGGAGCUCAACUCCGGAAAGGCAUUGGAAACUGGUCAACUUGAGUGCAGUAGAGGUAAGUGGAACUCCAUGUGUAGCGGUGGAAUGCGUAGAUAUAUGGAAGAACACCAGCGGCGAAGGCGGCUUACUGGACUGUAACUGACGUUGAGGCUCGAAAGUGUGGGUAGCAAACAGGAUUAGAUACCCUGGUAGUCCACACCGUAAACGAUGAACACCAAGGUGUUAGGGAGGUUUCCGCCUCCUUAUUGCCGAACCUAAC